GCCCUACUAGCUCAGAGGGAGAGCAACCGGCUUUUAACCGGUAGGUCAUAGGUUCAAAUCCUAUGUGGGGCA
rnacentral:tRNA from 1 species